AGCUACACACCUGAUGAGUAGAGUUAUUCAAGGAUUGAGGAAGGACAUUUUGGGUGACCCAAGAGAUCAGCUUAGACACCAGGACAACAGCGUGGUUUGGGGUAGAAAGCCAUAGGACCUCAGCUUGAGGCCAGGAUUAAUUCAUGUUUCCAUUAACUGAGAGUCACCCAGCUCUAUUAGCAUAUCUGAUAUUAUGUUCAGGGCCAUGAAGAAAUUUGGAGAAUAGUUGAACUAUGUCUUUAAGAUCAUUACAGAAGAAAUGGAAAUGCAGACAAUUUGAGACCAGGGGAAAAUAUGAAAUGACAGAAACAAAGGCACAUGAGAAAGCUCUCUGUUGCCUACUAUGGACAACUGAAGAAGGCUUCAAGUGACCUUUGACCUGAGUCCUACUAAGAAGUUACCCCCACCACUUAACAAGCACUCUUGUGUCACUCAAAGCAAUGUUCAUUUUCCAAUGUAACAACUACAGUGGCUGAAUGAAGUGGCUUUUCCCUUAACUGUUAAUCUGUGAUAACUGAGCCUUAUGAAGUCUAAGAUCUAAUAGUUUAGAAAUGUCCACUGCAACACAUGACCAAAUACUCCUACUGCCAUGAUGAGAAUGAACAACAUCAGACCUCUCUGCUCCAAAGGGCUUGAGAAAGCUGUAGUAUGAGGGGGAUAUUCAUAUUGUUCCUGGUUCAGCAAUCACCUUGAUUCCAGCUGUUAUAUGUCGGCACCUGUUAUAUUUUGGACCUUGUACAAUGUGUGUGGAGUUGCUAGCAAGCACCAUGGACAGAGCCUCACCUUAAGAGGGUUCGCAUAAAGUCAAGAUAGAAAAUAGAUCGCCACCAAGGAUAGAGUCACACACUGAGAGGGGUUCUAUGAGGAAAGGCGCCAGGAGAGUUUAAGCAGCAGGCAGCUGACAGCUCGGUCAGAUACCUUGAGCAAAUGUUUGGGGUUAGCUCCAAAAGCA
rnacentral:lncRNA from 1 species